UAUAAAAAUUCAUCCAUUUCUACUAUUAAAAAUUGACGUGGCUGACAAAAUAACCAAACAAUUACAUGUGGUGUGUCACAUGUACCUCAUGCUAACAUAUAGAGACCAAUUUUUAACAGUAAAAAUUGAUGAAUUUUUUUUACA
rfam:Gossypium arboreum cultivar AKA8401 contig_71_15, whole genome shotgun sequence.